GUCCGCUAUGUGUUGAUCGUUCGUGUUUACGCUCGGCUAUCGACUGAAAAGUGACGCUAAGCGCUAUAUUUUGAAUGAAGUUGUAGUGACAAUAUGCCGUAUUGGCUUGCAUUUGGGUGCACUUCAAGUGCUACGAAUGCUUUAGGCCUUCAUUUCCAUGGAUUUCCCCGCGAUCUACCAAGAAGAAAGCUGUGCUGAUGUCAAACUCAAAGACAUAAGCAAACACAGCACGUUGUGCUCCUUACAUUUCUCAAAGAAGAAUUAUGAAAGGGAUCCCGAGUUCAUGGCACAGUAUGGCUACACGAAAGCUCAACCCAAGCUUUUAAAGCAUGCCGCACCGGACAUUCCCCUGGCUAUCGACGGCACGAGCAAGAAUAUCACCAAAAGUGCCACGUUCACCGAGAGGGGGGCUUUUCAGAAGCGAUGACGGUUAGAACAAAUAGAAGAUCUGAAAGAAGCAUGUGAUAGUUUCAAAGCAACACAAGAUUGUGGACAGUCCGGAGGUACAGAUAUUCAGCAGGACAUGUCAACAUUCGAGCCUGUUCAAACUUGUGUUGAGUCUGGCAGUGGAAAACACCAUUUCGAGUGUCAGGUUUCAUUGGCAGUUCCCAAGGCAAAAAUACAUCUUCGCACAAGACAGAUUCAGACAUUACCCGUCCGAAGAAUCACAAGAUGCAUUCAGGCAAGACCACUGACCAAGACAGUGUGACAUGUACAAGAGGAGCGAGAUUGUGUUUGAAGAGGACAUGGACAUAGAGGAAGAUAAGGCUGAGGAAACAAUCCAGAUUACUUCCCCAACACCAAUCCUGGUGAAAGAACUGAAAUCAUAAGUGUCUGAUGUAUGAACUGAAGUCAUAAGUGUCUCAUGUAUGAAACUGAAGUCAUAAGUCACUGGUGUAUAAACUGAGUCAUAGGUGCAUGGUGUAUAAACUGAAAUCAUAUGUGUCUGAUGUAUUAAGAAGAUCUAUAGUACUUGAACCCUGCCACUUCUUCAGAUGGAAAGUAUUCCCUAAUUGCAGUCACCACACCUGAUGGUAUAGGACGACAAUCAUGUUUUCUUAGCCUUCCAUGGAUCCAUCUUGUAAAUCGGCGGUAUGCCACAUAGCGAUACGUUCUGUAAAUUGAAAGAUUUUGUUCGGAUCUAGGAAUGAGCAAUGUACAUGACUAGUGUUCUUAAUCGGUGACUUGAAAUUGUAUAAUAUUGUUACCAUACCGGAAUAAUUAUGUUCAGAUGUCAUAAUUCAUUGCGUGUCAGAACAGGUCUUCAGCAACCCAUGCUUGCCAUAUUAGGUGACUAUGCUUGUCAUAAGAGGCGACUAACGUUAUCUGGUGGUCAGGCUAGCUGACUUGGUUGAUGCAUGU